rnacentral:lncRNA from 1 species
AGGAGUCGGAGCCGGGACCGCAGCAAAAGCCCGAGCCGGAGCCGGAGCGCGACAAGGAGCCGAAGCCGGAGCCAGAGUCGCAGUCGGAGUCGAAGCUUAAGCAAGAGUCGCAGCAGGAGUAGAAGCAGGAGCCGCAGCUGGAGUCGCAGUGGCAGCAGGAGCCGCAGCCGCAGCCGGUCGUCGGGCAGCAGGAGGUCUGGUCGAAGUCGCAGCGGCUCGCGCUCCCGGUCGCGUUCGGCCAGCUACUCGUCGGCGACGUCAGACUCGUCGCGUCGCAGCCGACGCUCUCCGUCGAUCCCGAGACGCCGCGGCUCGCCCUCCUUCCGAGACAGCCGCCGCAUCACCAGCCGCUGUGCAUAGGUUUGUCGUCGCGCCCGAAAGCGACCGAUCCCGUACCAGAGGCCGGCGCCGCCACCCUCGUCGUCGGACAGCGAGAGCAGCGACAGUCGCAGCCGCACCCACACGCCGAGUCCGCUGCGCCGAGCGCGCGCCGCCCGUUCGCCCACGCCCGCUGGCCGACGGUAGGAUGGACCCCGCCACCAUCUGGGAUCCGGUGCUGCCAUCUGAGGGCUGGUGCUGUCGUCUGCAGGCGGCGCUCUGCGCCCGUGGACUGGUAGGAUGGUGCUGCGGUCUGUGCUCUUGUGGUGCCCUCUGCGGCGGUGCUCUGAGCUGGCUAGCAUGGUGCCGCCGCUGAUAUGGUGACUGGAGCUCAUUCCGGCCGACGCCCGUAUACCGUGCUGCCAUCUCUUGUUACGACGGUCAACCCUAGUUCUAUACUUUCGGGAUCCGAGCUGUGGCGGCACGCCGGUGUACCGGAUCCCCCCCCCCUCCCCCACAGGGAGGGAUUGGUGGGUGAACACCCUAGCAGGCAUGCUUUAUUCCGACUGGUGACGUAUUCCAACCUCGCCGCCCCACAUUUCUAGAUGUCUGCUGUCGCUGAUGCAGAAAGGCUGCAGUUUGAUUUUAAAACAUCUGACGCUUAAUUUGGAAAAUUUCUGCUGGUCCGUCUGAUCCACGGUUGUCAGCAAACCAAGUCACCAGAGAUUAGAUCGGAUGGGCAGUCGUAACGAGGCCACCAAACAAAUGCGAUCGUGUCAUACAACACCCCUGGCCUUGUCAUUGCGAGCACGUAGCUUCAAUGCGAGACCGCUCCUGUGUAAGAAACACCAAAGUGCAGAAACGGGCGAAUUGACAUAGAAUGCUCAGUAGUAUUAAUGCCGGGAAUUGCAGGUACCGCGUUUGGUACCGCUUACAACUCUAGUCCACAUGUGAUGUCCACGUAAGCGCUUCGAGGCAUGACCGAGGAAGCUAGUCAAUCAUUGGUGAACUAAUGGGUAUUUUCAUUGCCUUUUUCUCAUGCACCUCCAUAUGUUAAACGUUAACUGCCUUAAGCGUAGGAGAUCAUACGACCCUGUCCCUAUCCUUCCCUACAUAUGAAUUCCGCUGAUCUCCGUCUUACCCGCGGAUCCUGUGCCAGCUGAUCGUUUGCUGACGGCAUUAUCGGGCAAAAUGUUGUAGUGAUAAUGUUGCCAGCCAGAACCGGCCUACGCCGAGAAGCACUAUGCAUUCUCGCUAUUUAUGCUAUUUAUUUGUAUUUAUUCAUGUGACGAUCCGUACCAGCUGCGGUUAGAUGUCAUCAGUGAGGGUACAGUCGUAGUUACAACUCGGCGACUGGCUGAGCCCCUCGUAGCCUCCAUCCCCUCUCCGGCUAUGCAUAACCGGCCCAGGGGUGAAGGGGGCGACAGAGCCCUGAGGGUCUCUCAGAGGGGUUUGUCCCCUUGCUUACUAGCGCAUGACCCCCAUUGGCGUCAGUUUGGCCCCCGAAGCUGUUGUGUUCUGGAAAUACACAGAGAUCUGAG